rnacentral:rRNA from 1 species
GACAGAGGCCACGAACGUUGUUCGGAAUCACUGGGCAUAAAGCGCACGUAGGCGGCUGGGUCCGUCGGAUGUGAAAGCCCCCGGCUCAACCGGGGAAUUGCAUCCGAUACAGCCCGGCUUGAGGACGGUUGGGGUGAGUGGAACUCCUGGUGGAGCGGUGAAAUGCGUAGAUAUCAGGAGGAACACCGGUGGCGAAAGCGGCUCACUGGACCGUGACUGACGCUGAGGCGCGAAAGCGUGGGGAGCAAACAGG